UAAAGUAAUGAAUAAUCCAUGUGGUUAUCACUACUGAUGCACAAGAAUGUAAUUGGCACUUAUCAGCAUAUUAAUGGAGAGAUGAACUCACUCUGCAGAAUUCUAGAAGCAUCUCAUGGAGCCUCACGUUUACCUGCUCUGGAGGUAAAAUCGCGGACCUGGGGCACCAGAGCGACAUCCAGGC